CAGUGGCAAUCAUGUAUAUUAAAAAUGAUUGGUACGUCUGCGGGUAGAGUACUGCAUGACACAUG
rnacentral:miRNA from 1 species